rnacentral:ncRNA from 1 species
AAGUGAAUAAAUUCAACCAAGCACAGGUAAACAACGGGAGUAACUAUGACUCUAUUAAGGUAGUCAGAUGACUAGUCAUCUAAUUAAUGACAUGCGUGAAUGGAUUAACAAGAUUUCUAUUGUCCCUAGCUAUUCUCUAUAUAAACCAUAACCAAUAGAUAUUAG